UACGUAGGUGGCAAGCGUUGUCCGGAUUUACUGGGCGUAAAGAGCGCGCAGGCGGCCAAGUCAGUCGAAUGUGAAAGCCCCCGGCUCAACUGGGGAGGGUCAUUCGAUACUGCUCGGCUCGAAGACAGGAGAGGGAAGUGGAAUUCCCGGUGUAGUGGUGAAAUGCGUAGAUAUCGGGAGGAACACCAGUGGCGAAGGCGACUUCCUGGCCUGUUCUUGACGCUGAGGCGCGAAAGCUAGGGGAGCAAACGGG
rnacentral:rRNA from 1 species